rnacentral:rRNA from 1 species
UAACACGUGAGCAACCUGCCUACUACAACGGGAUAACACAAAGAAAUUUGUGCUAAUACGGUAUAAGACCACGGUACCGAAUGGUACAGGGGUAAAAGCGAUUUAGCGGUAGUAGAUGGGCUCGCGUCCCAUUAGUUAGUUGGUGAGGUAACGGCCCACCAAGACCGCGAUGGGUAGCCGACCUGAGAGGGUGAUCGGCCACACUGGGACUGAGACACGGCCCAGACUCCUACGGGAGGCAGCAGUGGGGAAUAUUGGGCAAUGGAGGAAACUCUUACCCAGCAAUGCCGCGUGAGUGAAGAAGGUCUUCGGAUUGUAAAGCUCUUUGAUUGGGGAUGAAUAAAUGACGGUACCCAAAGAACAAGCCCCGGCUAACUACGUGCCAGCAGCCGCGGUAAUACGUAGGGGGCGAGCGUUGUCCGGAAUGACUGGGCGUAAAGGGUGUGUAGGCGGUUUAUUAAGUUAGAAGUGAAAUACCUAGGGCUUAACCCAGGUGCUGCUUCUAAAACUGAUAGACUUGAGUGCAGUAGAGGAAAGUGGAAUUCCUAGUGUAGCGGUGAAAUGCGUAGAUAUUAGGAGGAACACCAGUGGCGAAGGCGGCCUGCUGGGCUUUUACUGACACUGAGGCUCGAAAGUGUGGGGAGCAAACAGGAUUAGAUACCCUGGUAGUCCACACCGUAAACGAUGAUUACUAGGUGU